AUUGAACGCUGGCGGCAUGCUUUACACAUGCAAGUCGAACGGCAGCGGGGAGGAGCUUGCUUCUCUGCCGGCGAGUGGCGAACGGGUGAGUAAUACAUCGGAACGUGUCGAGAAGAGGGGGAUAACCACCCGAAAGGGUGGCUAAUACCGCAUAAAUUCUGAGGAAGAAAGCUGGGGACCUAGGAAUAGGCCUAGCGCUUUUUGAGCGGCCGAUGUCGGAUUAGCUAGUUGGUGUGGUAAAGGCUCACCAAGGCGAAGAUCUGUAGCGGGUCUGAGAGGAGGAUCCGCCACACUGGGACUGAGACACGGCCCAGACUCCUGCGGGAGGCAGCAGUGGGGAAUGUUGGACAAUGGGGGCAACCCUGAUCCAGCCAUGCCGCGUGUAUGAAGAAGGCCUUAGGGUUGUAAAGUACUUUUGUUAGGGAAGAAAAGUCAGCUGUGAAUAAUGGCUGAUACUGACGGUACCUAAAGAAUAAGCACCGGCUAACUACGUG
rnacentral:rRNA from 1 species